AUGAUUUCUGGGCAAGGAGCUCGGCUUCUGACGGAGGAGCCGGUCUGGCGGGACUGCCUGGAUGAAGUGUGCUGGGACACGCAGGGCCGGGCCGGUAGUCCCCGCCAUUGGCGAGGCGUGGGGAAGUCCUCCCGCAAGGUUUAAGGACUCAUGAGGUUAUACUGGGCCCACCUAGGUAAUCCAGGACCUGGUGCUAUUACAUAACAAGUUUGCUUUAACCAAUUAAGUUUGAUGAUGCAGUAUACUGACUAGAGUUUUUCAGGCAUUUGCUAGUCCCUUCUGAGGUCAGGCAGCUUGCACUAUGGCACAUGAAGAAUAUUCAGAUACUUCAUAUCCUGCAGGAGAAGGGAGACAGCAUGACAAAUUCUGCUGCCACUAACUGAAAGUAGUUUAUCACUUUAUCUUUAGAAGGUCUAAUGACAAAACUUCAAGGAGAGAAUAUAUAGUCCAGUCUGGGUUUAAGCCUGGAGUUUGGAUGUCUAAGAUGACUCUGAGCGGAUGUGGAUUCACGUGUUAGUACCUGAAAGUGGGCACAGCCCCCACCUUGGAAUGAAUGUACACUUCCAAAGGACUCAUUUCCACAGGGUGGUGGAAGGAACAACAGAGACAGCUAUGUGCCCACACGCUCAGCCAUCUGCCGUUCCAACCACAUGUCUCUCCCCCCGUUUCCUGCAAAUGAUUCAUCUAUUCUUUUUCCCCUUCUUCAAAGAUAACUCUGUAGGCAUUUAAGGAGGGGAAAGUCAUUAAGAAAAGUGGAAUCUGGAGUUAUUAGAAUGAGAUAGAGCAGACUAAACAGUGUAAUUUCACAAAGCAAACAGCACAGGGUGUGGACUCUGGGCCCGUCCGUCUCUGUCCGGCUGGUGCAUCAUUUCACAGUUUAUCGUCCUUCAUGAACAGGUCAACAAAAAUGGCCACAUGUAAACAUGAGCAUAUGAGUUGCUAAAGAGAAAGACCACAGCGGAAGUCAGGAGGAUUCUGGAUUUUCCAACUGGAGCCUCUGUGCAUUUUAUUCAGCAUCCUAUGUAGCGUCUGUCACUAAAAGUGAAACCAAAGGUUUUACACCAAUGAAUGGGAUCUUUGUGACUUUUUCCAAUAAGCAGACCAAAAAGCUGCCAUUAAAAUCAUGCUUUUAAAGGAGAUCCUGAACAACAGAGAAGAUGAUUAUGGCCAUGUCCUCAACACUAAGGGGUGCUGGUGGCAAUAUACUGUGUGGGAAAGGCCUGUGUAUGUCCACAAGGAGGUGCUUGGUGGGUGUUUGUUCAAUUGCAUCAAGCUGGAGCCAGAUGGGACUCAGUUCAAAUCCUGGCUCUGCUUUCAGCUUCUGGGACAUUAGGCAAGUUGCUAAACCUCUGGAGUUAGGUGAUAAAGACACUUCCUCACAGGGUAGAAUAAGGAUUGGAGGAUAAUAUACAUGAAGUACUUUGUGUGGUCUUUGGAAAGAGGUAGAUAGGCAAAUAUCAGGUGAAUACACAUAUUCCUUAUAAUUUCACUUCAGUUUCUACUACAUCCCACACCCUGAGGCUAGCAGGUAAAGAGCUCUAAGGAGAAUGAAGAGGCCUCUGGCCCAUUCUAAUGUGGCCUCUCCCAUCAGGAGGGAAAAGGCAAAUAUUGCAUGGGACCUGGCAAUAGGAUUGAAUGGGCCAUAAGUGAAGUCUGAUAGCAUCCUUACAGCCCUUAACAGCCACUGUAUCCCUUGUGGCAAGUGAAAGACCCCAGAAGUGAGGAAUCUUAUUGCUGAGUAGAGCCAACAAAUCCCAGAUCAGACAGAGUUCUUAAAGAUUCUAAUAUGUUGCUAGUAUUGUCUCAUCUGUAAAAUGGGUGUUAAAAUAGCAUUCACCUCUUGGGUUGUGAAGAUGAAAGAAGAGAAUCUAUGUAAAGGAUUGAGCACAGGGCCUGGGACAGUUAGUGAUACAUACAUGUUGGCUACUGUUACUAUUUUGUAUUCCAUGUUCAAUCUACGGUAUUGAUUAACCUGUUUAUUGAUUGAUGGCUUUUCAUUUAGUAAAUGAAUUUUCAAUAAAUGAUUUUUCACUUAA